AGCGAACGCUGGCGGCAGGCCUAUCACAUGCAAGUCGAACGAACCUUUCGGGGUUAGUGGCGGACGGGUGAGUAACACGUGGGAACGUGCCUUUAGGUUCGGAAUAACUCAGGGAAACUUGUGCUAAUACCGAAUGUGCCCUUCGGGGGAAAGAUUUAUCGCCUUUAGAGCGGCCCGCGUCUGAUUAGCUAGUUGGUUGAGGUAAUGGCUCACCAAGGCGACGAUCAGUAGCUGGUCUGAGAGGAUGAUCAGCCACAUUGGGACUGAGACACGGCCCAAACUCCUACGGGAGGCAGCAGUGGGGAAUCUUGCGCAAUGGGCGAAAGCCUGACGCAGCCAUGCCGCGUGAAUGAUGAAGGUCUUAGGAUUGUAAAAUUCUUUCACCGGGGACGAUAAUGACGGUACCCGGAGAAGAAGCCCCGGCUAACUUCGUG
rnacentral:rRNA from 1 species